rnacentral:piRNA from 1 species
UNCUUAGCUUGCAGGUCUUGUAUAGAGUA